GUGCCAGCAGCCGCGGUAACACGGGGGGAGCAAGCGUUGUUCGGAAUCACUGGGCGUAAAGGGCGUGUAGGCGGUCAGGUAAGUGAGAUGUGAAACGCCUCGGCUCACCCGAGGACCUGCAUCUCAAACUGCCUGGCUUGAGUAUGGGAGAGGAUGAGGGAAUUCCUGGUGUAGCGGUGAAAUGCGUAGAUAUCAGGAGGAACACCGGUGGCGAAAGCGCUCAUCUGGCCCAAUACUGACGCUGAGGCGCGAAAGCUAGGGGAGCAAACGGGAUUAGAAACCCCUGUAGUCC
rnacentral:rRNA from 1 species